ACUUCCAGUCCAUGCUUCUUAUUUAUUCUUGGCAUCAGGACCUUAUCAGCCCAUCAUAAAGAAAUAUACCAGAUGAAACAUGUGAGAUUGCAAGAUGAACUAUCCUGCAUUUCAAUCCCCCGGCUUGAGCAAAACCCUUUUAUAUCUAAAAGUAGUCAUACAAAUGGAGUUCCUUUGGAUUCUCUUCCAUCCGGAUUGGCAAAAACCUUUUAUAUCUAAAACUAGUCAUACAAAUGGAGUUCCUUUGGAUUCUCUUCCAUCCGGAUUGGACGUUAGUAACACCUUCAUUAUUGGUACACAUAAGCCUUCUGUGGAAGUUCUAUCAUUUACUUCUGAUAAAGGCGUG
rnacentral:lncRNA from 1 species